AGUGAACGCUGGCGGUAGGCCUAACACAUGCAAGUCGAACGGCAGCACAGUAAGAGCUUGCUCUUACGGGUGGCGAGUGGCGGAUGGGUGAGGAAUACAUCGGAAUCUACUUUUUCGUGGGGGAUAACGUAGGGAAACUUACGCUAAUACCGCAUACGACCUACGGGUGAAAGCAGGGGAUCUUCGGACCUUGCGCGAUUGAAUGAGCCGAUGUCGGAUUAGCGAGUUGGCGGGGUAAAGGCCCACCAAGGCGACGAUCCGUAGCUGGUCUGAGCGGAUGUAGAGCGACACUGGGAGUGGACCGCGAUACAGGCUCCGACGGGAGGCAGAGAUGGGGAAUAGUGGAAGAAGGGCGGAAGCCUGAUCCAGCCGUGCCACGUGGGUGAAGAAAGCCUUCGGGUUGUAUAGCCCUUUUGUUGGGAAAGAAAAGCAGCGGGUUAAUACCCCGCUGUUCUGACGGUACCCAAAGAUUAAGCACCGGCUAACUUCGUG
rnacentral:rRNA from 1 species